rnacentral:lncRNA from 1 species
CAGAAACCCAAUCAUCAGCAAAGAGGACAACAUACGCAAACACAUCACACAUACUCAUAGAUACGUCGCACACAUGCUUAAUCGUUUACCAAGUAACUCGUCCAAAUGCUUCUUGGUGACGAAACUCAGGGGACUGAUGCCACACAACCCAGCUGACUCACACCGGAGGACGGAGAAUCCCAGGCCGAGGGGCAGUGACUGUAUUUCCCAUGGAAAACGCCAGAAGCAUCUCAAAGCCCUCUUUCUCUCUCACACCCCUGCUGGAAAAAAAGCCUAGUUUGGACCAACCUAAAGUCACCAUGAGAUGGCAUUGACAGCUCAAUUUACUUAUAUAGCCUGAUGUAUUUCUGAUUGAAAGUGUGAGAAGAGAGGAAAGUGUGAGUCAUGUGGUUGGAGGGGCGGGGUCAAAAAGCAAGAGGGAUUUGUGAUGUCAGCUGAAUAGGAAAGUCGUUUCAGAGGCGGAGCAAGUUGUUUAAUUUUGUUGAAAGAUUAUGAAAACGGAG